rnacentral:tRNA from 1 species
CGGAGUUUGGUUUUUGAGUGUUUAUGCACCAGUCUGGGGGACUGGGGGUCGGAGGUUCAAAUCCUCUCGCUCCGACCA